CCUACGAGAGGCAGCAGUGAGGAAUAUUGGUCAAUGGGCGUAAGCCUGAACCAGCCAAGUCGCGUGAGGGAUGAAGGUUCUAUGGAUCGUAAACCUCUUUUAUAAGGGAAUAAAGUGCGGGACGUGUCCCGUUUUGUAUGUACCUUAUGAAUAAGGAUCGGCUAACUCCGUGCCAGUAGCCGCGGUAAUACGGAGGAUCCGAGCGUUAUCCGGAUUUAUUGGGUUUAAAGGGUGCGUAGGCGGCCUUUUAAGUAAGCGGUGAAAGGCUGUGGCUUAACCAUAGAAUUGCCGUUGAAACUGGGAGGCUUGAGUUUGUUUGAGGCAGGCGGAAUGCGUGGUGUAGCGGUGAAAUGCUUAGAGAUCACGCAGAACCCCGAUUGCGAAGGAAGCCUGCCAAGCCAUGACUGACGCUGAUGCACGAAAGCGUGGGGAUCAAACAGGAUUAGAUACCCGAGUAGUC
rnacentral:rRNA from 1 species